rnacentral:rRNA from 1 species
GAUGAACGCCAGCUACAGGCUUAACACAUGCAAGUCGAGGGGAAACGAUAUUGGAAGCUUGCUUCCGAUAGGCGUCGACCGGCGCACGGGUGAGUAACGCGUAUCCAACCUGCCCACCACUUGGGGAUAACCUUGCGAAAGUAAGACUAAUACCCAAUGAUAUCUCAAGAAGACAUCUGAAUGAGAUUAAAGAUUUAUCGGUGAUGGAUGGGGAUGCGUCUGAUUAGCUUGUUGGCGGGGUAACGGCCCACCAAGGCGACGAUCAGUAGGGGUUCUGAGAGGAAGGUCCCCCACAUUGGAACUGAGACACGGUCCAAACGCCUACGGGAGGCAGCAGUGAGGAACAUGGGUCAAUGGGCGAGAGCCUGAACCAGCCAAGUAGCGUGCAGGAUGACGGCCCUAUGGGUUGUAAACUGCUUUUAUAAGGGAAUAAAGUGAGCCUCGUGAGGCUUUUUGCAUGUACCUUAUGAAUAAGGACCGGCUAAUUCCGUGCCAGCCGCCGCGGUAA